rnacentral:rRNA from 1 species
UACGUAGGUGGCAAGCGUUGUCCGGAAUUAUUGGGCGUAAAGCGCGCGCAGGCGGUCCUUUAAGUCUGAUGUGAAAGCCCACGGCUCAACCGUGGAGGGUCAUUGGAAACUGGGGGACUUGAGUACAGAAGAGGAAAGCGGAAUUCCAUGUGUAGCGGUGAAAUGCGUAGAGAUGUGGAGGAACGCCAGUGGCGAAGGCGGCUUUCUGGUCUGUAACUGACGCUGAGGCGCGAAAGCGUGGGGAGCAAACAGG